rnacentral:lncRNA from 1 species
CAAAUUAACAACUCUUUGGCCAUUCAUUUAUAUCCACACACUACAGCGAAUUUAAUUAGGCAAAAAAAAAAAAGGCUACAACAAUUUAAUUAAUUAACAUAUCUAUCAAUAUCAUAACUAAAACAACCAUGUAUAAGUAUAAUUAUUAAUUAAUUAAUUAUAAACCUUGUCCUCGGCACUCCUGUUGAACGGCCUGGCUCGAAAUAUUAUAAAUGAUGCUACAAUUCAUCUUCAAGACAACAGAUUUCUUGAGAACCUUGAGUAACUUUAUCUUGCCAUCUAUUCUAGUGUAGCUGCUCAUAUUCAAAGAUCUCGACAAAAUAUCACUCUUUAAGCUUGGAACGGUCAAAAACUUCUCAGGAUUUAAAUCAACAGUUACAUUCCUCCGAAGCGUCCGCCUUGCCUUGGCCUGCCCUUGCGGAAUGUGACCUUCACCCACCACCACGCCGCCGUAGUAAACACUAGUCGUGGUGUUGCCAUAUUUGAAGGAGUUGUAAUUUGGGUUCUUCACUGAGACAUCAGCCAAAAGCGUGACGUUUUCAUCGCCGCUGCUGCGAACACUGCCGUUAUUCAAGAACUCCAGCCGUUGGAUUGUCACCGAAUUCAUUCUGAUACUCGGAUUCUUGACGUGAAAAACGGUGGCGAUCACGAUGAUUAUCACGACUGCAACUAAUAGAAGAGCAUUGACGCAACCAAAGCACUGAAGACAUCUUCUUCGAUGUUGAAGCGUCAACUUGCCACCCGACAUGGCUUGAUCUUCAUAAUCACUGCGGAGAUGGUACUCCGCUGGGGCUAAAGGCUUCACUUGCUCGCUGUUGUUGGCGUUGGCCAUGCCCGGAUUUAAUUCGUGAAGUGUAAAUGAUGACUCGGUGGAGUUUAAUGGGCCGGCAUAUUUAUAUUUACAUUUAUAUACGUGAUCAGAUUAUUCUUUGGUUUUGUAUUCUUGUCCAUUGUGCUUGACGCAAGUGUAAAAUUAAUUUGCUGAGUCUCAUUGUAUUAAUUUUUUCUUUUUUAUUUUUUAAUUUUUUUUUCUACUUAACGCGUUUGCAAGACUUGACUAUAUAUUGUAUUUUGGCCUAAUUUGUAUCAUAAAUUCCACCUUAAAUACCGGUUAUUCUUCACUUUAGAUGUAUAUAUUCUUUAUCCGAGAAGUUUCCACGAAUAUAUGAUGGUGUUUAUGGACUUUUGGAAGACGGCAAUGCUUGCACAAAUGAUUCUUUUUAUGGACUAUUCCAAGUGUCCACUUCCUCGAAUUUGUUUUAUAGCAUUUUUAACUAUUGUGAAGAGAAAAGUAGUAGUGGGCCCUAUUGAAAAUGAUCCUCUUGAUAAUCACUAAAAUAUUAAUUCCGUUAACCACUCGGCUCAACCCGAGUGGCCAGGGCUGCUGCCCUCCAAGUUAGAGGGCAGCAGUUCGAACCCCCACAAAAGUAUUGUAGGGGUAUUUUCUUUCUCAAUUAAUUUGAGUGAAGGUAGUCUUCUUCCUUAUCCAUGAGUGAGGAGUAGACAUUCCUCGAAUAUUUGUGAGGGUUAAAAUAUGGGCAGAGCUCCAUUAGCAUUGAUGUAAGUUGGUCCCAGUAAUUAUCUGAUUUGUAAAUAUCAGUUAUAGUCUCAUGUAAUAUGAGUUAUAAUCUGAACAAUAGUCUCAUGUAAUAAAAAAAAACGUUAAUUCCGUUGAAAAGUCAUUAACAAUGGAGAUGGUGAAACGUUUUGACACGCAUGAUAGCUUAUCAUUUCAUGUUGUGUCAUUUUCUCAAUAGAAUUGAAGAAUAAAACAGUAGUCGUCAAAAAUAAAUAAAUUAAUGCUAUUGAAGAAUAGUAUUAAUACUAUUGGAAAUAUAUAGAGAACAGAAAUUUCGGCACCCAAAACCUUGUUAAAGUUGGGCUACCGUUUUCUUGUUUGGGCCGGAAUCUCGGGAAAGAAAAAGGAUAAAAAAAAUCCUCGGUUCUAGUCUUCUUAACGUACAUGUGCACGAAUGGCAACAGGCAGUAGAUGAUCGGAGCUCGUCCGAUUAACAAAGCGGGUUAAAAAAAAAAAAAAAAAAAAAAAAAAAAAAAAAAAAAAAAAAAAAAAAAAAAAAAAAAAAAAAAACAGAGAGGUCAAUCUCCAAUCGAUUGAUUUCCAUUGUAGAUCUCUCAUCCAAACGUAACGAGUAACUGCUAGAACAACCAAUAAUUAUAUCGUUCUUACAUAAUUAUUUUUGGGUCAUUUUAUAAAUAUCUUGAUUAAUAAUAAAUUAUGUAAAUGAAACAUAUGAUUUAUAAAUUUAAUGUAAAACUUGUAAACUAACAUUAAAUGUAAAUUUAAACAUUAAUUUUAUAAAUAAAAAAUAAUACUUUUAAAGAGAAAAUAAAUAAAUUAAUAUAAAACUGAUAAAUUGAUAUAUUACUAAUAAAUCAAAAAGAUUACACAUAUAACAUACAAAAAAUAAAUCAAUAUUAAGUGUAAAAUAAAAUAUAAAUCUUAAAAAUAGAACAUAAGGCUUAUAGAUGAAAGAUAAAACAAAUAAAUUAGUAUAAAACAAAUAAAUUAAUGCAUUAUAAGUAAACAAAAUAAAAACUUGCAAAUAUAAAAUAAAAUUAGUAAAUUAAUAAUAAUCAUAAAACAACAUAAAUUUUAGGAAUUGAAUAUAAGAUUUAUAAAUAGAAUGUAAAAUAAAUAAACUAAUAUGAAACUAAUAAAUUUAAAAUUUAUGUACUACUAGUAAGAUCUUGUUCAAGAUGUGAAUACGCUCUUGUAUUGACACACCAUCUCUCAUAAAGAAAGUAUACAGCCUUUUGACUUUUCAUGUAUAAAGCCUCAAUCUUGUUCCAAAUACCCAAAGCUAUCUUCUUACCUGAUAUCUUUCUCAAGAUUGAAACACUACGACUCGAGAUCAAGGUGCUACGAGCUCUACUGAGAGCCUGCCUUCUCGUUUCAUCAAACAUGGAACUAGGUGCUCCCUUUGGAUCUUCUUCUUCUAGAGCUGAUUCAAGCCCUUGGUGAACAAGCAUGGCCCUUAUCUUCAUCUUCCACAGAGAGAAAUCACCAUCAAUAGUGAACUUCUCAAUUUCUAGUUUUGGAAGUGACAUUAUCUAGGAUCAAUCUGAGCUCCGUUACCACUUGUUGUGUUUUCAAAGAUUAAUAAAGUCAAGAAAACAAAAGAAAAUUAUACUUAUCAGAACAAGAUCAAAUUAAUUAGAAGCAAACAAAUAUCCGAAUCAGAAAGAUAUAAGAAUCAAUAUAACUAUAAUACUCGAGCUUCAAAAUUUAAAGGAAAAACUAACUUGUUUUUAUUAAUCAAACUAACUCGAAAUAGAUCUCACUUUACAGAGGAUGUGACACAUAUUACACAAAAUCAAGAAUCAUGAAAUUUGGUUAAGAAAUGAAAAAGAAAUUGAUCGUAGUAUCACACACCAGGUGCUAUGAAACAGCCAGAUUACACUGGUGUUUCUAAAAAAUUUUCUGGAAAGUGUUUAACGACUUCUGCCAUGUUGAAACGGAAACGGAAAAUUAAAAGUUCCCAAUGCUGUACUCUGUAGUAAAAUGAGUAGUAAUAUUAUUUUCUUAUAAUUUAUUUCAGAUAUUCACAAUAAAUAGUGUCAUAAUUUUUUCCCGAAUGGUCUUGACUAAAAUCUAUGUGAUAAAUUGUAUGAUCAGUUUGAGAGAAGUUUUAAGAAUUAAUGAUGCUGUUAUACUCAAAUCUCAAACGGACUCACCAACCUCACAUAAUUACAGAUAAAGAUGAUGGGGCAUGCGACUAUUCGUGAAUCAUGGCACCAAGACUAGCUGUUUCUCUUCUUUCACUUUCUUUUUUUUUUUUUUUUUUUUUUGUGGAAAGGCACUUUCAUAUUUAAUAAGCAAUAAACUUUCUUUCAGUUUCAAACAUUAACAAUCAAUAAACUUUAUUAACUUUAGUUGAUUCUUUUAAUUGAAAAGCAUAACUGCAUUGGGCACUUCCUAUCAGAAAGAGGAAAAUGGAAAAGUAUACAAUGAAGGAAGAAUAAUUAAAUAGUAUCAAUGUGCGUUGUGAAUUCUUUUCACUGUGUGAUCCUUUAUAAUCAUAUUGUGAGAAAUUAAUUUACAAAAAUAGUUAAAAUUCAUGCAUCAUUUAUAAACUUACCCAUUUCCCUUGUUUAUAUCACUGAAAAAAACGAAGGAAAAAAAAAAGAAACCAACUUUAACCCAAAGCCAAUCACCAAAGUUCUCAUCUUUUUAUCGCUGCACCACCCAUAAAUAUUCCCCAUUUCUAGCAGGGAACGGGAGCAUCCAUUUUUAUUCAUUUUUUUUCCCUUAGUUUUUAUUCAACUCCUUAAAGUUUUAUUUCUAAUGACGCUCUUGAUAGUACCGCUUUGGUAUUCGGAUUGGGAGAAUACAUCUGUUUCAGAGGCGGUUAUAUCAACUUUAACAGUGGUGCGUAGAGGUUGCGAUACUCCUGUGAUGGCGGUCUUUGCAUAUGUUCUCCAUGAAAGUUUUUAGAGUCUCUAAACUGUCGAGCUACCUUACCAGUCUAAAAAUUUGGUACAAGACCAUCUAGGGGCGCUUUUGCCGACAGCAUCUAGUGUACAUUUUGCUCUCAAAAUUUAGCUGUUUACGUAAAUAUCCUAAUCUUUUUGUAUAACUAUUUUAUGAAGAAAAAAAAUUAUAAUAAAGAGUAAAACGAAUAUUCAUUUCUUACUAACAAAUAAACCAACAAUAUAUGAUCAUUCUUGAACAAGAUCGUGGAGCCAUUAGGCGACAAAAUCGUGAGAUAUAUACAAGCAAUUAAGGGAAGCAUCUUUAAUUUCUCCGUUAGAACAUGGGAUGAUUCUUGAACAAGAAUUUACAUGCAUAUAAAAUCAUAUCACGAUCUUUAAUAACCAAAUAAUGUCAAUAAUGCUAAAGCUUAAAUCCCAGAAAUAUUACAAAAAGAUAUAAAACAAGUGAAAGAAAAAGAAGUUAGAAUCAAACUAGCUGCUGCACACUAAAUCCUCAACUGCUCUUCUUGCUAAAACAAGAUUCAUGGAACAAUCCAAUUCAGGCGUCUUCGUUUUCUUCAAAACAUUGAACAAAUUCACAUUGCCAUGCAACUUAGCGUAGCUGUUGAGCUUCACAAUCCCAGAAUUUAUAUCACUUCUCAAAUUCUGAUUAUCCAAAUUCCCAUUUGAUCUCACAUCAACAUCAACGGUUACAUUAAUCCUCUUAACCUCUCUAGCUUCUACACGUCCGUCACGUAUCUUCACGUCACCAACCGUCACGCUGCCGUAAAAAACGCUCCCACUACAAUUCUUGUACUCAAAGUAACCAUAAUUCUCAUUAUCAAUAGUUAACUCAGUCACUAACGUUACGUUAAACGACGGCGAUGUCCCGUUACCGUGGCUGAGAUUUUUAACAGUGACUGAUUCUAAUUGAACUUCAGGGGUAUUGGGACGCAAGAAAAUUGAUGCAGAGAUUAAAAGGGCUGCGCUGACGGUGACGAUUGUGACAAGAACGUAAACGAGACACUUGCUGCUCUUUCUUUGGCUUUCAAUAACGGCCGGAGCGUAUUCUUGAUCGCUUCUUGGGUAUUCGUUUCUUGGGGGUGCAAGCGGAAACUUUGGAUUUUCUUCAGCCAUUAAUUAAUUUGUGCGAAAUAUUCUUGAAUCUUGGAGAGUGAAAGGAGGGUGACGUUUGGCUUCCUCUCGAGUUCGACCUUCGAACGUUGUUGGUGUGAUUUUUAAAGAGAGAACGGUGAAAGGCUUUCAGGCGUUGUGCGUUAUGAUCUUGAACCCCAAUUUAUAACAUGGGCUGGGGGAAGAAGAAAGAUGAAGCCUGUGUUGUGUUCAAAAUUAAAGUGCUACGUACUGCUAGCUCAUUCCUAAUGGGAUGAGUGGGUCAGCGCCAGCCAUUGAGGGUCUUUGCGCACUUAUGCGACGGCAGAUAUAUAUUAUAUCAUAUAUGUUUAUUUUAUCUUAUUUUUGUUUUAUUGUUUUUUAUUAUUGUCGUUGUUGUUUUGCAUGUGGAAAAAGAAUAGGACAAGGAUUUUUUUUUAGUUCGUGUUAUGAUUGAAUUAGAGUCUUGUGUGGCUUAUCUUUUUAGUGUUAGUGUAUGAUUAUUUUUUUUUAAUUUAUUUAUUAUUUAUGAUCUCACUCGCGGGAAGAUCAUACAAGAAAAAAUUCUAAUCCGUUAUAAUUAUAUUUAAGUCUUGUAAUGGGUGUAAUCACCAAAUAUAUAUUUUAAUUAAAAAAUGGUUAAAAUAAUUUUUUGUUACAUUGUUUUGGCAUAAUCAAUCACAUUCCCCUCAAACAGAUUUUAAAAAAUAAAACAAUAAUGUUUGGGAUCCCAACAUUUGAGUCCUAACUUGAUGGUAUGUGUCACUCAUUUAUUGGAUAAAUGAUUUCAUAAUUAAUAAAAUUACUUAAUUACCAUCUAAUAGAUGGAUGUCAUAUUAGUCGGGACUCAAAUUGAAGCUUAUAAUGUGGGAUACCUAACAUUGCUCAAAAUAAAAUUGACUGUCUCUAUUUAUUUGAUUAUUUCAAACAACAGGAGAAUGAGAUGUUAUAUCAUUUUCACUCAAGGGAAUGUAUACUGAUGUAAGAAAAAUAUCAGAUGUAUUUUUAAAAAUUUUGAACAGACCUUGUCGCUCAUGAUUGGAUAAUAAUUACACACCAAUGUUUGUUAUUUUUUUUGUCGUAAUUAUGAUUAACUCCAUCUAUAUAUAUCUAACAAGAGUGAUUUUGUAUUCUAAUAAUACGACAUAUGAUAUGUAAAAAGAUGAUUUAUGAGGAGGUUUUACUGCCAUAUAUACGAAGUGAAUACAAAGUCAUGGUAAAGGCAGCUGCCCCGACUAAGAAUAAAAUUGGUAAAAACAAUAAAGUGAAUGUCUCUUGGUCGCAGUGUGUGCUUAGUGAUCAAUAUACCAUUCACCCAUUUAAAUGUCUUUAUCUAAGUUUUUAUUACGACAAUAAUUGACUACUUAUUGCCCGAAAUUGAUAAUGCAAAAUCUUAUUAGAAUGUAAUGCAAUUUGAGUAGUGCUACACGUUCGGAUAUUUUAUGUUAAAGUUUUAUCUCAAAUAAUGUGAUAUAUGAUAUACCAUUUUUUAAGUGGUUGAUAAUUUUUUAUAAAAUUUAAAUGAAUUAAUUGUAUUAUCUUGGCAUCCAAUUGAUGAAUGCCAUAUUAUUUAAGAUGACAUUUUAAGAUAAAAUUUAGAAUUUAUAGUACUACUCAUGUAAUUUUGAUUUAUGAUAUUCCUUUGCUUACUCAGUUAGGACAUUUAAUUUGUAUCCCAACUAAUGUAACAUCAUUUGAUUGGUUCAAAUGAUAGUUAGUUACUACUCAAUCUUAUCAUUUCUCAUCAAAAUAAUGAAAUUUUAUUAUUGAUACAUGAGUUGUUGUUGUUGUUGUGUGUGUGUGUGUGAGAGUAAUGAUAGGCAUCCCAAAUUGUUUAUCUCAAAUGUUAUCCCAAAUCAUAUGUCAGUCAUUUAUUAGUUAAUGAUUCAUUAUAAGAUCCUAGUAAAUUAAUUAUAUUAUUCUCACCAACCAAUUGUUGGAAUAUAGUAGGUACCCUCAUUUUUUUUUUAUUGUGGAUUAAGCCAAAAUGUUUAAUAGAGUCAGUGUUCAAUUACUAUAAAGUCAUGUGUCUAAAUAGCAUGUCUACGAUGAGUCUAUUAGACCAAAAGACUUAUUACCGUGUCCACAUUUAAAAAGAAAAUUGAGAGCGCCCACAUAAGAGAAGGUCCUUUUUAUAGUCAUAUUGUUCGGACCAAGUAAUUUUAUUACUAGUUAUUUUGAGUUAGUUAUCCUUAGUGUAAGUAAUAUAGGUGUAAAUAUAUUAAUAAUUAAUUCAUAGAGCAUACAAAUUCCACGUCUAUAAAUAUUUUGGCCUCAACAAUAAAGUGUUCUACUAAUGGGUUAUUAUGUACCUGCAAGUUCAAAUAUAUGGUAAUAAUUCUAAAAAAUAAAUAAUGUUAAACCUUGAACGAUACAUAUAUGUUUUUGUAAUUAAUGUACGAAUGAUUACUAUUAUGUAGAGAUAUGCUACUUAAGAUGUGAUUUAGAAAACUUAUAAUUUAUUAUAAUGUGAAAUCUACCCUUAUUUAUAAUUGAUUUAAAUUAAAAUUAAUUUUUUUUAUAUUUAUAUAAAAAUUAUUCUUCUAUAAAGUGUUUUAUAUAAGGAUUAUAUAUAUAUAUAUAUAUUUUGGGUAUAGGAGUAGAAUGUUUGGCAAUGAUUUCACUUGCAUUUCGAAAGCUCAAAUCGUAGUUGAUGUACAGAUUAAUGCGAUGGUGCAAUUGAAAAUUUUGAAGUCAAUUUAGUAUUAAGAUUUGUGAAAGUUAGGCGUGCAUUACAAUUAGGUCAGAGUUGGACUGGACCUUUUGUUGAGAAAAUAAUAUAGCACUAUUAAUGUGUGGAAGUAUCAGCACCCCUAUUCUAAUCAUAUCCUUGGCCCUUCUAAAUAAUUUAAAAUAUUACAUUACUUUCAUUUGCACCUAUCUAUUUCCCCCCCCAAGUCUGCUGCAUUUAAUUUUUAUUUCUCAAUUCUUAAAAUUUCAUAAAUAAAUCUUUCUGUUUAUUGUUUUCUUAGAUAGCUCAUAGGAAAAUAAUCUUUGGCCUGCUAAUUUUGUUCAAGUUAGUCUACCAUUUAAACUUCUCAUAAGGGUUUCAUAUAGCAUUUUGUUGGAGUUAGUCUACUAUUCAAGUUCUUCAAAAUAAAAACUAAAAAAUGGUAUACUAAAUAGACUGUAAAUUUUUGCACUGAUAAAGAUAGAAUCCUAGAGAAGUAAUAAGAACAGGAGGGGUACUAAAUAAUGAUUACCAUUCCCGGCCAUAUGAGGAUGGUGAUUGGUAACAAGAUUAAACAUAUAUCACCAUUGUCAAAAAUCUAAAGUUGUGAGGCAUAGUUGAUUAGAUUUGCGAAUGAGUUCGUUAUGGUUGGGGGUGUAAAGAGUUUGCUGAAGAUUACUUUUAUUUAUUUCAUGUCCUUCUAGGGUAAUCUUAAUCGAGGGUAAAAUUGUAAACAACCAAAAGGGAGGUGUUACUAUAGCUCCACUGAGUCACUCACUUUUAACACACCCACCCAAACGUGUUUCUAAGUGCACCGCCCGUGCGAUGAAUGAACGUAGCCGACCUGGCGAUGUACUUAGAAUACCCACAUUUCCUUCACUGGAAAAGCGUAGAGCAUUCUGAAAGCCGAAAAUAUGGAGCUCGUGGCCCUUUAAUCAGAAUUACCGUGACCUUUUGCUACAAGCCUACAACAACUUGGUCUUUGUUAGGGGUGGGUAAAAAAAUCGUGCACUAACAAAAAUUGAACCGAACUGUAUCGUUUGAAAUGAUUUUAAUUUUUAAAAAAACCGAAAUAUAUGGUUUGUAAAAAAAACUGAAAUAUAUGGUUUGUAAAAAAAAUCAAAAUAUAGGUUCGGUAUUCGGUUCACUCAGCUGAACUAAAAAACUGGAUUAUUUUUUAAAUUUUAUUUAAAUAGACACGUGUUAAAUUUUAAUUGGUUGAGUAACAUAACUAAAAUAGGCAUGCACACAUACAAUUAUAGUAUAUAUAUAUAUAUGUGUGUGUGUGUGUUACAAUUUUUAUUUUGUGUUGUAAGUUGUAAUUGUUGUUAUUUUUAUUUGUCUUUACAACAUUAUGAUUAUGUUUAUGUAGAUGGAGUAUUGGUCCUAUUGGAGUUUAGUUAUGUAUUUUGAAAUCUUAAUAUUUCAUAUUUUGUGAGUACCUUAUUAGUAGUUAGUGAGAUAUUAGUGAUAAAAUGUGUUUUGAAUACUUUGUAUUUAUUAUUAAUAUUUGUAAUGAAAUUAGGAUGAAUUAAUUGUUAAAAAAUAUUAUUACAUUCAUGAGGCCCAAUGGGCUAAAAAUUUGAAAAUUUAAAAUAGGCCCAAUAAGUCCAGAACUGAAAAAACCAAACCGAAUCGAAAAGAUCCGUUUGAGUUCGGUUUUUAUUUAGUUCUUUUUUAUAAAAUAACUGAUUUAAAUCGGUUAUGCUUAAUUUCGAUCCGAACCGAACCGUGCCCACCCCUAGUCUUUUAAAACGCUGGAAAAGCAAGCACGAUGUGAUGGGUUUUAAAAAAAAAUUACUUUUAUUAUUUAACAUAAUGCCAUUUACGUUCCAAUGAUAGCUAACGUCACUGAUCUUCUCAUGUACCAUCAUCAUAAGCUAAUUAUGAACAGUAAUAGAACAAAGUAACAGAAUAUAAUUUGCAGGCACCAUCCUCAUAUUAUUCUAUUUCUAUCUAGAAGGAUUGGCUGAGCUCACUUCAAAAAAGGUGAAAACUUGUGCAAGAACUUCAGACAAGCGCAAGCCAUCCAAAUCCCACCUCCAGAUUCCACAAAUCUACUUGAGUAGAUCUCUCAUUUCUCUUUCAAAAUUGUCUUCUUCCCACCGAUACCAAAAUGCCUACCAAUCCAGCAGAGCCACCCCCUCCACGGAAGCUGUAACGCAUUUGGACCCCUUGCCACCUGUAAUCUCUUUUCUUGACAAUGAAGAGCAUAUAUUUUUUUGCUUUUGCACGUCCCCAGCCACCUCAGACCUCACCAACCACAAAAACUUUACUUUCUGAUUGGUCUACAAAAUUUCUGCGAGUAAUUUGUGUGUGUAAUCUGUUUUUCUCUUUCUUUCUUUCUUUUUUUCUUUUUUUCUUUUUCUUUUUCCCUCGGUUUCUAAAAAACUGUACAAUAUUUGCUACCUUAGCUUAUUGAAAAAUUUAUUGUUUUGCGGCUUUACAAGAACUCUCUUUCUCUUUUUCCUUCAUUUUGUGAAGUAGAGAGAGGAGUGAGAUAUGGGUUGUAAUGUAAGGUAUAUAUGUAUAUGCAAUCCCAGGGUGUAGACUUAUUUAGAAGUGUUCUUUAUGGAAUUCAAACUUGGUAGAGCCUUUCUGAUUGAACUCAUAGCAAAGUUUGCUGAGUUCUUUAGCCAAAACUGGUGCUCCACAGUAAAAAACUCCUGUUCCAAAAGAAACAUAAAGCAUAUUAUGAGAUUGAGAAAGAAUUAAAAAGGUCAUUUAAAAAAAAGGAAAAUGGACAUGCACUUACCAAUCCUGGCAUUGCAGUGCUUUGAACUUAAUUUAGACAGAACCUUCUUCCAAUUAGGCCUUGCAAAAUGGGUUCUCACCUGAUGAUAGAAUUUGGGAACUUUAGAAAUUAUAGUGAUAUGACCCAAUGAAAUCAUCAGAUUUGAGUUGCUGCUGGCCUUAUCAUGACUAUUGGAGUGACAUUUGUGACAAGAUAUUCAAUAAUAGUUUCAAGCCACAAGUGCAAGAAGCGGUGUUGUGAAGGGAGAGACUGAAAAUGACAAUCACUAAAGGUCUUUCUUACCCUAGUGCCAGAAACAAUGUCAACUCCGUUCUUGGCAUGAUUAAGAGCUUGAACCAUUGUGAUUAGAGCUGAUCUGGCAUCACCUUCCUCAUACACACUAGUCAAGUAGUUGUGCAUCUCAAUGACACCCUGAAGUCCAAAAUAUGAAGUUAAAAUCCCAGGAAAUUAAAUAAACAUUAAAAAGAAACUGCAAAGUGAUUACAAUCAAUAUUAUGUAUUACCCUCUGAUCAAGCUCUGCAACUUCAUUCAUGACACCUUUGAACCAAUCAAAUGAGCCUUGCUCCCUAGUUACCCAGUAGAAGUAAGCAUUGGUGGUCUUCAGAGCCUUUUUCCGCUUUGGAGAAACCCUGUUGGUGUUAGAAUCAUUGCUUCCAACACUAUUGUCUGAUCUCCUACUGAAAUCUGACACAGAAUCCUGAAAAAGAAAAGAAAAAAAAGAAUCAGAAACUAAGAUGUGCUUUGUUUCAGAAGUACUGUAAAACUAUUAUCAAUCAGGACAAUGCCAAAAGUCAAAUAAGGUUUUUGUAGCUGUGAAGCACUGAAAACAGACACUUACAGCUUGUUCCUCCUGUUUCACAAUGUUGUUAAGCAGAUCCUUCAGAAUGCUGAUGAAGGGUGUUGCUCCAAUCCCAAGACCAACUAGAAGCAGGACAUCAUAAUUUCGGUAGUCUUGUGCCGGGGCACCAUAAGGCCCAUCUAUUAAGAGCUUUGGCAGACUGUUACCGGAUAAGAAUUGAGCUUAAUAAAUAGUAUUAACAACUUGAUACCCUUAGUUAAUUGCACGACCAAAAUCACAAUACAUACCUUUUCUUUGUUGUUUCAUCAGCCCUGAGCAGCCCACUUUUCCCAGCUACAGGAGGCUCACAGGCCUCAGAAAAUACCCGUUUAAGCUCUUGAGUCCAGUCACCUAACUGCCGGAUGUGAACACUAAGGUAGUCAUCACCAGGAGCAGAUGUGAUAGAAAAUGGAUGCCUGACAUACAAAAUUAAGCUGUAAGCACUCAGAAACAAGACUAUCUCUAGAGUUUCAAGCAAUUGUCACCUACUAUCAGCACAAUGACUUACCACUCGAAUGGAGACACAGCAGGACACUGAACAAACAUGUACUGUCCGCUCUUGUACCGAAAUUGUGGAGGCCUUGACAUUUGCAAUGUGAGAACAUUUCCAGGAUAUAUUGCGACCUAAACAAUAUUCAUCUAAUUGUUAGAAAACAUAAUUUAGUUUAUAUGUUAUAUACAUAUAUAUAUACAUAUAUAUGAGUGAGUGAUUUAUCCAUAUACUCGCCUUUAGAAGCCUGACAGUAGAAAAGCCAGAACGAAAAAAUCGCAGGGUCCUUUCUCCAGCAUACGCAAGAACAGGAACAGCAAGAUACAUCCAUGUCUACAAGCAAAGAAUUCAGAAACCACAAUCAAUCACAAGAAACUUUAAGGAUUUUUUGUUUUUUGAAAAAAUUAGAAGAGAGUUAAGUGUUAUACCGUCUUUAGGUACCAUUUGUGAACGAGGAAAAGUAAUAUGCCGUGGACGAUGAGCAGAAUAUAGACAAUGACGAACAAAUGGUGUGAAUACCAGAAAGCAUUGAAACCAGUGAGCCUAUCGAAGGGCUUUGGCAGCUUAAUGAGGUUCCUUCUGAACCAACGAGUUGCUAAAAUGAAUGCAAUUGCCAUGAAUAUGACCAUAAGAAUUCCUGUAAUACCUUCUGCCCCUUUGACAAGGUCCCAGUAUGUGGGUUUAUGUUUUCCAAAAGACGAACUCAGAUACCGAUGGUAGUCAUUUUCUGAAGAGCUUAUUAGCCUCGGGAAAUCACAUGCGAGAUGGUUCCCGACAUGCAGAAUUACACCGACUACAAUUGCUGCCGCUAUUGUCUGCAAAUGUCCAUCAGUGGUAAUUAAGCAAAUAAUUAAUUAGAUAUUCGCUUACAUCUAAAAAAAAAAAAAAAAAAAAAAGAUAUCCAAGUACAUUAUAUGCCCUGACGUUCUAAUAACAUGCAUUUGCAAUUCUCUCUUAUGAUUUGUAGAGAAGUAUUUUGUUACAUCAAUUUGUAGCUUAAUUGAUGGGUUUUGUUGAAUGUGUGUACGCGGAGUGGGCGUCAAAUACUCACUAUUUGAAGUGUAAAGUGACCAAACGUGAAUUCUAAUUUUCUCAUGUUGACUUUGAUCAUAGGCUUUUUGCCAGGGGCCCACAGAUAAUAUACUUAAAAAACAAGCAAUAAUAAUAAUAUAUAACAUAAAUAAAGGAAAGAAGAGUAGUUGUAGGAGGCACAAACCUUAUGAAAGUUGAUGUUGUCGUCAAAAGGCACAAAGAAACCCAACCUGGUGGACCUAAGCCACGUAAUUGUAUUUCUACAAACAGGCAAAAGAAUUAGAGCCAUGUUGAAUUUUAACGUCUCUGCUGCACCCUUAGCCGUGAGAAGACAAUAACCCAUUACAUGAAAAGCAUCUUUGUGUUUGUAUUGGAAAAACUUCCAUGUAAAUAACCCGAUCAUAAUCAAAAUCCACAGUGACAAUACCCAAAGCCUUCGCCAAUUCUCUUGCAGAUAAUACACAAACUCCGUGCUCAUUCUUUUGAUUCUGUUCUUUUUUCUCAAGCCUUGUAAGUUUUGGCUCAAAGCUUGGCUUGUGUAGCUCAGCGCUUGGCUGUAGUUCAGAUACGUGUCCUUUUGUAGCAAAAGCGUCUCCAAUUGCCAUAGCUGCAUAUCAUAAGUAUUAUCAAAGAGAAUGAACCAUACACAGUGAUGACAUGGUGUCAAGCGUCAGGCAUACGUGGGAAUUAACAGGAUAUCACAUGGGAACCCAUCUUGUUUUGGCAGGACGCAGGACCGACCACUUGGUAAGAAUUAAGUUCAAAUGGUUUUAUCAUGAAAGUGCAGUAGGUUUGGACCGUUUCAGUUUUUGAGCAGACAGUGACAAUCUAUACAAAUCAUAUAUAUAAUUAUGAUUUUGGUUAUAUAUAUAAUCAUAUAUACAAAUCAUAUAUUUUCAAACAGUUACCAACUAAAUUUUGACAAAAAGAAAAUAAUAAUAAGAGCACACUGAUUACGCCGUGCAUAUUUAAUUUGGCAAAACUGAUCAGUUAUUUUAUAUGAUUCUAUUGGGAGAGAUACUAGAAGUGUAUUCAAACGUAAAAAAUAUAAACAACAACGGAAACGCUCAACUACCAAGAAUGUUAUCAACAGUUUUUAUGAGUUUUAUUUUCUUUCUCUCAUUCUUUCUUCUUUGCUUAGUUGAGCAAACAGCACUAGCCAAUCGUUGGAAGUUUUGGUCAUUUUUGUGGCCUAACAAUGGACUUUAAUUACAAGAAAAGUCCUACUCAAAUAACCGAGCCUCUAAUUAGUUUAUGUAAAAUGUGAAUUGGCUGGUCAAAAUUGCCCCCAUUAAACACGAGUUAUGAAACGAACGUGACAUAAGGCCCUAAAAAAUAAAAGAAUAAACUAAAUGGGCUUUCCUUUUUAUAUUUUUCUAGAUACAUGUAUCAUAACGAUUACUAUUCUUAUUAUUAUAUAUAUUACAAUAGAAAGUGUGUUAGAUAGAGGACCCCACGCACCUCUAUGUAUCCAAGUCCUUCGGGAUCUAGCUCUUCCAUUAUCAAAGCUGCGUAUUCUUCUGCUUGCUCCUUCAAUCUUGAUAACUUAUUGGCAGAAGCACUUAACAUAAUAAUCUGUUCAAUUUACACACAAAAAAAUAUGGAAAACAAAAAUCUAACAGUUAACAAAUUAUAGUAUUUUAAAAAUAACUCGCACAUUCAAACUGAAAGACAAAAGAGCCCCCACCAACCCCACUUAAAAAACGUAAUAAUUACUUAUGAUAAUAAAGUGGAGAUGCCAUGUGUCGAAACUUUGAACCCUCCAGAUCUUGAAUAUACAUGAUCUAAUUAUAGAUAAGAUGCCAAAUUGAUUAGAACAUGGGUAGCGUCAAAGACUAAGCAAACUCAAUAUUUUUCUUUUUUGCCCUUUUCCUAAUUAUAUUGAAGGUACUAAUUUAUGAAAUUUCAUUUCAUUUAAGGUUACCGAAUCCCGCCUAACGUUGAUUAUUAAAACCAAAAUGACACCCUGUAAGCAAUAACACCAAGUAGCUUGAAUUUACAAGAUUAUACAUAUAUAAUGAUAUUCAAUUGAGUGACUUUUGCUUUAUCUAAUCAUCAAAAGGUUUAAAAUCUAAUUUAAAUAAGAAAAUGAAAUCAGUACGUAUUACUAUUGAAACAGAAUUGAUUAAACACCUCUUUUACUUCCUCCUCCGCGAUUCUUCCAUCUUCGUUCUUGUCGACCCUAAUGAGGCAUUAUACAUACAAGAUGAACGAACGAACGUAAGUACGUAAUAUACAUAUAUAAAUAAGCAGUGAAUUAAUUAAUAAAACCUGUAAAAACUAGAAAUGAAAGUUGAUGCUGGUUUAACUAACUAAUUAAUGCUUACAUAUCGAAGAAGAUCUGAAGCCGAGAAUCAAAGCUUUGAUCGGUGAUUUGUGACCAGUACUCGUAAAGCUCUUCUCUGCUAAUCUUGUCAACUUUUAACCUUCUUCUCCUACUUAAAGCAUCAAAAAGCUCCAAUGCAAACUCUUUAGAAUCUCUCAUUCCUGUGAUUAUAAUACGAAAAAAAAAUAUUUAAUUAUCAAAGCGUUGAUUAAAGCGAGGUUAACCGAAAAAUGAAAAAAAAAAAAAAAAGCGGGCGGAUAUGAGAAGAACCUAUGCAUUGUGCGAAAUCGGCACGAUAGAGAAAGCCGCCCUUGGCAAGCUUAUUAAAAUUACUUUGAACUUCAUUCCAUGCGUCGACGCCGUUUGUUUUACUACUAUUACUUAUGAACCUCAAUCCACGAAGAGCCUUCUGGGCGCCGGACCGUGUCCGGUCCAGCUGAGCACGCUGCUUUCUCAAAGCUCGAGCCGCUAAAGCCGAGUCGAAUCCAUUGCCAUUCUGUGCUGACGAGGAAGUUGAAGCCGAGAGCACGCGAGAAGCCUGUCCAUGGCUCCAAGAGAACCUCCUCAGCUCGGCUUUCAGCUCCUGCGAGAAUUGCUUCGCUUUUGCCACUGCUUCCGCCUUUAGCUCUUGCGAAAAAUGUCUCAACUUAUUCGACGAGCUUCGUUUUAUGGAUGGCGAUGGAGAGGCCGACGACGGAGUCUCACUUCCAGCUCCGGCUCCGUCCUCGAUGCUAAACACAUGAGGUGGCGCCGGCUCGACGCUUCUAAGGACAAUUGUAUCAUCGUCUUG